rnacentral:rRNA from 1 species
CGAAGAACCUUACCUGGUCUUGACAUCCCGGAGACCCUUAGGAAACUAAGGGGGUGGCUUCCAUCUGGAAGAAUCUGGAGACAGGUGCUGCAUGGCUGUCGUCAGCUCGUGUCGUGAGAUGUUGGGUUAAGUCCCGCAACGAGCGCAACCCUUGCCUUUAGUUGCCAGCAGUUCGGCUGGGCACUCUAAAGGGACUGCCGGUGUUAAACCGGAGGAAGGUGGGGAUGACGUCAAGUCCUCAUGGCCUUUAUGACCAGGGCUACACACGUACUACAAUGGCCGAUACAAAGGGCAGCGACACUGCGAGGUGAAGCCAAUCCCGUAAAAUCGGUCUCAGUCCGGAUUGGAGUCUGCAACUCGACUCCAUGAAGUUGGAAUCGCUAGUAAUCGUGGAUCAGCAUGCCACGGUGAAUACGUUCCCGGGCCUU